rnacentral:lncRNA from 1 species
UCAAAAAGGGCAAAUAAGUCAAGGUAGAAGGAUAAAAGGGUAAAUGAAAAAGAAAAGGAUUCAGUAAGCACACGUCCUGCCAUUGGGUGGCCUCGAGGGAGAUAGGAACGAGGAGAGGGAGAAACCCCCCCUCCCAAUCGAUGUGAGACGAGUGGAAGUGGAAAAUUGAGUCUAUGAUUGCGAGAAUUUGAGUUUUCCAUCUUGCAAAUUCAGCACUGAAGAUUAUGAUUGGGGAUAUUAACUUGUUUAUGUUUUAUUGAUUUCAAUGGUUUCAUUUGUGGACUCUGUCUGCAGCUUGACUUGUCUAUGAUGGGCUUAUUUCUUUUAGAUUUUUUGUAGGGUCUAAUUAUGCUUAUGUGAGACGUAUGUGUUCAAUAUUUUCAAGAUCAGAAACCUUUAAAUGUUGUAUUUCUUUAGUUUAAGGUGUUUGUAUUAUUGGACAUAUAGACAUGUCGGUAGCUUACUGUGUCUCCAUAGAUGUUUGAUGCCGAUAAGGUGUUUGUUGAUUUGCCUGAGAUAAACCAUCAUAUUUGGAUGUUUCGAAGUUUUUGCCUUGGUAUUUCAAUCUUGUUCUUCUGGCC